rnacentral:lncRNA from 11 species
CUCAGAGUCAGCCUCUGAUUCCAUGUUGCUGUACCUCUUGGACUUCUCUGCUCCUUUCUUCUCCUUCUGCUUGUGUAUCAGGAUUGGAAAGGAAUUGGAGGGAAGAUGAUAAUGGACCAGAAGUGGAUAGCCUCCUCUUCAAGAAAAAUUCUGCCCACUCAAUUACUUUUUUCUUCAAUUCUCAAAUUUCCACCAUUAAGAGUAACUUAAAACUUCAGUUGAUCAUGCAUAAAUACAGACUGGACAUACACAAAAAAAGAUUUAGGCAAAUUGACCAUGAGUAGCGAACACAAUAAAGAUGAGUUCUAGAUGUCAAUGACUUUCAUUAUUGCAUUCUCUGCUAUACUAGAAUUUGGGAACUGAAGGAAAACUUCACAAGGGAGGUAGCAUUUUUAUAAGGGAAGCAAUGCUCUCUUUUUGCUUCCUUUGUAGCUAUAUCCCUGUAUGGAGUA